rnacentral:lncRNA from 1 species
GAGCGAUCACACACGCCCCCCUUCGCAGCGCUUCCUGAGAGAACGCGGGGAGGGGAGGGGGGAGCCGCUGGGCCCACUGCAAAACCUAGGGCUCCGAACAGCGCCAAAGGCGUAAGGAAAGGCGGGGAUCAAGAGGCUGGCCCGCUGUCCCCCACCCAGUCCAGCACCCCCAACCCGAAGACUCGACUCUCAGACCACCCAGGGUCCAAGGAGCACAGUAAGGCGCGGCUGCCAAGCCUUCAGACCCCGUCGCAAGAGACUCCAGGGAGCAGGUCUUUCCGGAUGAGUCACUACAGAGCACCCCCCAAAUCCUCCGGUGCCUCUGUGCAAAUCCUCCGGUGCCUCUGCACAGCCCGUGGCUCUAGCCCAACUCCGCGCACCCCUUCCGAUUCCCGGGGGAGAAAAAGAGAAGGGGGGCGAUCGCUCUCUCACUGGGCGCUUCACCUCUACUGACAGAUGCUGGACUGGACCCUCAUUUAAAAACAGGGGUCACUCACUUUCGGUCGAUACUACAAAUAAACAAAGCCAGGCGCACCCCGCGCGCCCCGCCGGAAAGCAGCCCAUUCUGGGCUAGGACAACUUCCCCCAGUCAGAAAAUUAACACAUUCCUCUCGCGGCGGCUCAGCCCCUCGCCCCAGGGAAGCGAAGGGGAGGAGGCCAGGGGCUGAACUUCAGGGGUAAAUUCGGGGCCCGAGCUACAAAGCAGGAACCUGGGACACCCGCCCCCACCCCAGAGAACAUCCCCAUUCUCCCUCCCUGGCUUUGCAUGCCGUUGGCCCACGCGGGAUUCCGGAGGCACCCCGACUCUUGGAGGCUGGGGAGGGAGUUAGAGGCCGCGGGGCGCGGUGAAGGUGGGGGAAGAUACUUGGACGGAAAAAAAAAGGUCAAACUAGAUCAGCCCGCUAGGCACCCCGCGGGUAGCGGGGGCGAGAAGCCGGAGGGGAAAUGCAGAAGUGGCCGCCUCCUCCAGCAAGUGGAGGAGGUUCGGCCACGCGCGGUCGAGGGCACUCGGAGCAGCUGUUGUCGCCCCAAAUACAAGGAAAUGAGUGGGGUCUGGUGCGGGGAGCGCGCACCAGCGAUCUCCAAGCAGCCGCCCCUGCAGGCAGACGCCCGCCGACACCGAGAGGGCAAGAAGUUGCAAGGACCUCGAAGGAGGGUUUGCCCGCAACGCCCGACCCCAGCUCAGGUGAGGAGACCGACUGGGAAAAUUCCAGCCCAAUCCCUGGGUCUACUACAUUGUGGAGCCCUAGGACCAUGGCCUGCAAACCUGAAGCCUAAAAACUGCCUGAAACGCAGCAGCUCUGAAAAGAUGAGGUUUAAAGAGACGAAAGGGACUGCGGACCUAGCUCAGUGUUCUGCCGCCUGCCUUUCAAGCACAGGAUCUGAGUUUGAUCCCUGGUACCAAAACAAAGACCGAAAGCUCAUCCAUGCCACAGGAUGUUUCUGCCCCUUGCCUAGACCUUUUGGGAUAAAGCUGGGGCAGGGAAGAAACAGAUCACUGGCACGAUCACGCCUGCCCACUGAUCCCUGUCCCUCCUGCACACGCUUGGGCUAUGACAGGGAUGCGGCCUCACUCAUCUCCACGCUCUGCUCAGUGCCUGUCUUCCACUUGGUGCUAAAUAAAUGUUUACUGAAGAGGAGGGAAGAUAUCAGGGCCUGACUGGAGCAAGUCAGUGUCAUGGGGGGGGCACGGGGAGGAGACCAAAGGUGGUUCCUGGUAGGGGACUGCAGUGACGGGAUGCCUGGACCCCUUUGCUGAGGUCCAUCUGUCUCAGGAGCCCCCUCUCCACGGCCAAAUCAUCAAGGAAGGCAAGAAAUCUGAGCUGGAUGGUUCUGGCCACACCUUGUGGGUGACCUGAACCUGAUCAGGCACUAUUUUAAACUCUAGUCCUAAGCUGCAGUUUUAGCCAGCCAGGCCCAUCUCUGAUUACAAAGCUGCUGCCCACCUCCCCAGCCACUCCUUCCUCCCCACCCUGGGGCCCCCUAGGCUGGUGCCAGGGAGUUCAGUGGGUCUUGGGCAGUCUGUUGUCUGGCACCAAUGCCCCUUUCCAUCCCCCCGGCCCUGUCCACAUAGGCACCUCAGCCUCCUUCACACAGGCAUGCGUCCACCUGCAUAGCAGCUGAGAUUUCCCCACUGAUGAGAGCUCUCAUCCCUAGGAGUGAAGUACAGCCCAGCCCCUGGACCAGCAGUGUGGGGCACGGUUUCUGUAGGGCAAGAGAAUGGAGGCCAGUGUCAGGCUGAUGUUUUAGGAAGAAAGGAUGUAGGUUAGACAGAAGUAGGGACUUAGCAGCAGUGAGACUGUGUACCAGGGAGCUGUCCUUCCUCUGCCGGCCUAAAGCCUGGGCAGAAAGAAAAGCGCUCCAGAGGAAGUGCCCUCCCAGUCCUGUUUCAAGGGCUGUGCACUGGGAUGGAUACUUCGCACCGUUGAGCCAGGCCACAGCAUCUUCCCUGCCACCUUCCUGGAGGGGGCAGUCAUCAGCUCUGCUCAGGUGGCCCAGUUGUCAGCUGGCUGGCCCCGCUGGACCUGUGUCCAUAAUCUUUCUCCUACCAUCAGGCAGUCAGCCCGAAGGUUCUGAGCCCGGCCAGCCCCAUCUCGAGUUCCACAGCAACCUCGAGGGAGGCAGCACAGCUAUUACCAGGGUACCAAGGGACAAGGCUGAUCACCCAUCCUGGCAGCCCAUCUCAAACUGGCCGCACAGAAGGCCACCUAGGCAGCCGAGUCGCCCCAUGACCUCAUCUACUCCCCCACCCUGGUAACUCAGCCUCAGAAGAGGUGUUGGCACCAAGCCUGGGGCAGCUGAGCAGUGACGCCAACAACCCUGCCAUCUCAGGCAAGCAUGGUUUACUCCAACCUGGCAGUUUGAACCAUGCGAGUAGGGGGCAUCUCCCACUCUUCUGAACUCAAGACAGCUGGGGACAGAGCUAUUUUGGAAAACUUCCUCCCCACUAUUGCAGAAGAUCUUUGGCAUCCCCACGGGGUCCUGGCUGUCCCCUCCAAGGGUUAGACCAGUGGGUCUAAACUAGAGAAGCUACCAGAAGACAUUUGGCAGUGUCUGAAAAUUUCUGAUUGUCACAACUGCUGCUACUGCUACUGACACCUAAUUAGAGACUAGGGAUGUUGCUAAGCAUCCUACAAUGCACAGGGUAAAGACUUAAAUGACUUAUGGCCCAAAGUGUCAAUAGUGCUGAGAUCAAGAAGCCCUGGGUUGGGCCAGGGAUUUAGCUCAGUGGUUCCACUGCCUGCUUGUCCAGCACAAGGUCCUGAGUUUGAUUCCCAGUACAAAAAAAAAAAAAAAAAAAANNNNNNNNNNNNNNNNNNNNNNNNNNNNNNNNNNNNNNNNNNNNNNNNNNNNNNNNNNCCAAAAAAAAAAAAAAAAAAAAAAAAAAACGUCCUGGGUGAGCUGGGCAUGGUAGUGUAUUCCUGAAACUCCAGCACUCAGGAGGUUGAAGAAGGAUCACCAGGAGCUUGAGAAGCGCCUAGGUUACAUAGCAAGUUCAAGGCCAGCCUGAACUACACAUUGAAAACCUAUCUAACAAAACAAAACAAAAACCUGGAAAAGAAAACCUGGGAGAAACCUCCCUGACUAACAGGAGCUCCGAAGAGGGCAGGGUACAUUCUUCCCCCUCACCACAUAUAUAGGGGUCAAGGCUCAUUAAGUCUCAUCUCCAAAGGCAGAGAAGGCCCUCUGCUACUCUAGCUUUAAAGGUCCCUCGUGGCCUGAGGAAUGUGGUAAACUACCUGCCUGCUCACCUACUCCCACACCAGCCUAUUUGAAAAAGUGCCCAUGAUGUGUGGCUGGCAAAACAGUUCACUAUCCUGUGGAGGGGGACUCACACAUGCCACCUCCAGGCCAACCCUACUACAGAGCCCUCCCUGCAGAAGGGGGCUGCCCUGCCCUCUCAGGCCCACCUCUAAAGGACCAAUGGGAAGCUCUGGCCUCCUCCUCUCCCUGCCACCUCCCAUUUCUAUUUAGGAGGCAGCCAUGGAGCUCAGCUCCUGUCUCUGGUUUCCUAGGGAUCUCUGCUGAAACAGCCCAGCCUCUGUGGGUCCAUCUGUCAGGGAGGCUGUUCCGCCCCAUCGAUUGCUGUUCCCAGGGGGCUGUGUUGCUUGAGGGACCCAAUGUGGCCGCCAGAUAGGAGAGAACCACACGGAUAAGAGGCGGGGAGGGGGCCAGCUUGGCAGCAGGCAGAGCCAAGAGGCUGACAUGGCAGAGAGAAGGCACAAAGCUAGACAGGCAUAAGAAAUGUACAGGGCCAGGGGCAGUGAGGCAGCAGACUGGCCGGGACGACCUGUGAAGCCAGCUGGCACCCUCAGCACUCAGCUUGGCCUUUCGGACACACCAGGUUCCCACUUGCAAAGACAAUAGUAACAUCGGUUGACAUUUACUGAACAGGAACAGUGUAUGUGCCCAGCAUUGGGCUGGGGCUCCAGACACCUCUGUUUUCACUUGAGGUCACAUCCUUCAGGGGCAGAUGCUAUUAUUUUCCAGGAGAGGAAGAGGCUCAGAGAGGCUGCAGCUGAAGCUGGUCUGGAAAGCAGGUCGUCCUGGCCCAGUGGUUGUGCCCUAGCUCCAGACCCACAGCCAGGUCUGAGGGGGAGGAGGCAGUCUCCCUGGCCAGAGGCCCUGCCCGCCCUCCCUGCGGAGCCGCCUCCUCCCCUGGUCUGUGUGACAUCUGCCCUGCUUCCCGGCCCCAGACAGCUGCCCAGAGCCACGUCAGCACUUCCACCGGAGAGUCUGGAAACUGGCUCUGGCCACUGCGUGAGGGAGGACCGGGGGUGCGGGGGUGUGGGGUGGGGCGCUGCGGAUCCCCGACAGGAUGGCUCUCAGGGUGACCCACUCAGCUGAGCAGAGGGUGGGGGUCGCGUGACCCUAAGCGGCGCGCUUCUAAGGAACCUCGGUUUCCCCUGCUUGGGUGAGCGCAUGGACGGGGACACUUGGAGAGGCGCCCAGAAGAGAAGGUAGCAGCAUCCGGAGUGUACAAGAAAAUAUUCCCACGCAGCCGAAGUUCUGGGGACCCCAAGGGCAGCCAGCGACCCUCACAGUCCUGCUGGGGCCAGGGAGUGGUUUGCAGAGACUCACGG